UGCUGGGUGGAUUAGUGGCGAACGGGUGAGUAACACGUGAGUAACCUGCCCUUAACUCCGUUGGGAUAAGCCUGGGAAACUGGGUCUAAUACCGGAUAGGAGCGUCCACCGCAUGGUGGGUGUUGGAAAGAUUUAUGUUUUGGAUGGACUCGCGGCCUAUCAGCUUGUUGGUGAGGUAAUGGCUCACCAAGGCGACGACGGGUAGCCGGCCUGAGAGGGUGACCGGCCACACUGGGACUGAGACACGGCCCAGACUCCUACGGGAGGCAGCAGUGGGGCUGAAUAUUGCACAACCGGUGGGCGAAAGCCUGAUGCAGACGCCGCGGAGGGAUGACGGCCUUCGGGUUGUAAACCUCUUUCAGUAGGGAAGAAGCGAAAGUGACGGUACCUGCAGAAGAAGCACCGGCUAACUACGUGCCAGCAGCCGCGGUAAUACGUAGGGUGCGAGCGUAUUAUCCGGAAUUAUGGGCGUAAAGAGCUCGUAGGCGGUUUGUCGCUCUGUCGUGAAAGUCCGGGGCUUAACCCCGGAUCUGCGUGCGUGGGUACGGGCAGACUAGAGUGCAGUAGGGGAGACUGGAAUUCCUGGUGUAGGCGGGAAUGCCGCAGAUAUCAGGAGGAACACCGAUGGCGAAGGCAGGUCUCUGGGCUGUAACUGACGCUGAGGAGCGAAAGCAUGGGGAGCGAACAGGAUUAGAUACCCUGGUAGUCCAUGCCGUAAACGUUGGGCACUAGGUGUGGGGACCAUUCCACGUUUCCGCGCCGCAGCUAACGCAUUAAGUGCCCCGCCUGGGGAGUACGGCGCAAGGCUAAAACUCAAAGGAAUUGACGGGGGCCCGCACAAGCGGCGGAGCAUGCGGAUUAAUUCGAUGCAACGCGAAGAACCUUACCAAGGCUUGACAUGUUCCCGAUCGCCGUAGAGAUACGAUUGUUCCCCUUUGGGGCGGGUUCACAGGUGGUGCAUGGUUGUCGUCAGCUCGUGUCGUGAGAUUGGGUUAAGUCCCGCAACGAGCGCAAUCGUUCCAUGUUGCCAGCACGUAAUGGUGGGGACUCAUGGGAGACUGCCGGGGUCAACUCGAGGAAGGUGAGGACGACGUCAAAUCAUCUGCCCCUUAUGUCUUGGGCUUCACGCAUGCUACAAUGGCCGGUACAAUGGGGAUUGGAUACUGUGAGGUGGAGCUAAUCCCAAAAAGCCGGUCUCAGUUCGGAUUGGGGUCUGCAACUCGACCCCAUGAAGUCGGAGUCGCUAGUAAUCAGAUCAGCAACGCUGCGGUGAAUACGUUCCCGGGCCUUGUACACACCGCCCGUCAUCACGAAAGUCCGGUAACACCCGAAGCCGGUGGCCUAACCCUUGUGGGAGGG
rnacentral:rRNA from 1 species